UACGGGGGGGGCUAGCGUUGUUCGGAAUUAUUGGGCGUAAAGAGCUCGUAGGCGGUUUGUCGCGUCUGCUGUGAAAUCCCGAGGCUCAACCUCGGGUCUGCAGUGGGUACGGGCAGACUGGAGUGCGGUAGGGGAGAAUGGAAUUCCUGGUGUAGCGUUGGAAUGCGCAGAUAUCAGGAGGAACACCGAUGGCGAAGGCAGCUCGCUGGGACGUAACUGACGCUGAGACGCGAAAGCGUGGGGAGCAAACAGG
rnacentral:rRNA from 1 species